AGGUAGCUUAACCUCCGGGAGGGCGCUUACCACUUUGUGAUUCAUGACUGGGGUGAAGUCGUAACAAGGUAACCGUAGGGGAACCUGCGGUUGGAUCACCUCCUUA
rnacentral:rRNA from 1 species